AACAGUUGGGUCUCCUCAUUGCCUCAGCUGGGACAGCUUCGCUCCUCCAGGACUAUCUCAUACAGUGGCCAAAGUUAUGGGUCAUGACCUGGCCACAGAGAGGCCCAUUGGGCAUGCACGGCGGCCUCCCAAAUGGCAGCUGCAAUGGAAGGUCUCCACUUGAAGUUUCUUACACGUCAAUGGGAAUUUUAAGGAUGUUUGGUACUGGACUGCAAAAUCAUGCGACUCAAAUUUACUGGGGUCCCAAAUUCUUUCGACAGUCUCCUGCUACCCAUAACAAAUCAAAGGGAGUGACCAGGCUUAUCAAAGCAGAAGUAGCAAGCUCUUUUCUCCAAGAGAGGGCAGUAAGCCAAAGCCGACCCUUGAUGGAAAUGUGCGGUGGUAUACCUCAUUAGCUACCAGGCUACAUCUGCUGCAUUUCAUCGCUGAAUCAUUAGCCAUGACAUACUAUCUUGAAAGAAAAUGUUAACACCAAGUCUGGAAAAGAUUUCCCUCCACAAGAAGAUAUACCCAAGAUAAAAAGGAGAUUGCUCAGCCCUCUGGGUUUCUGCUAAAUGAAGCGAGGGCCAUAGAUGAACAUUAGGCCUUAAUGGCAUUAAUGUUUUUGUUUUCUUCCACUUUCCAAAAACUGAAAUAAAAUCUGGAGUAAG